rnacentral:rRNA from 1 species
UGGGGAAUUUUGCACAAUGGGGGCAACCCUGAUGCAGCGACGCCGCGUGAUUUAGAAGGCCUUCGGGUUGUAAAAAUCUUUUGUAUGGGAAGAAAAUGACAGUACCAUACGAAUAAGGACCGGCUAAUUACGUGCCAGCAGCCGCGGUAAUACGUAAGGUCCGAGCGUUGUCCGGAAUCAUUGGGCGUAAAGGGUACGUAGGCGGAUAAGCAAGUUAGAAGUGAAAUCCUAUAGCUCAACUAUAGUAAGCUUUUAAAACUGCUCAUCUUGAGGUAUGGAAGGGAAAGUGGAAUUCCUAGUGUAGCGGUGAAAUGCGCAGAUAUUAGGAGGAAUACCGGUGGCGAAGGCGACUUUCUGGCCAUAAACUGACGCUGAGGUACGGAAGCGUGGGUAGCAAACAGG